rnacentral:rRNA from 1 species
AGAGUUUGAUCAUGGCUCAGGAUGAACGCUAGCUACAGGCUUAACACAUGCAAGUCGAGGGGCAGCAUGUUGGUUGCUUGCAACUAACGAUGGCGACCGGCGCACGGGUGAGUAACGCGUAUCCAACCUACCCUUGUCCAUCGGAUAACCCGUCGAAAGGCGGCCUAACACGAUAUGCGGUUCACAGCAGGCAUCUAACGUGAACGAAAUGUAAAGGAGAAGGAUGGGGAUGCGUCUGAUUAGCUUGUGGCGGGGUAACGCCACAAGGCUACGAUCAGUAGGGGUUCUGAGAGGAAGGUCCCCCACAUUGGAACUGAGACACGGUCCAAACUCUACGGGAGCA